rnacentral:pre_miRNA from 9 species
ACUCGAUGGCGUAAAAGUGAACUUAAGUUUGGAUGGAGUUGGAACGGCUACCUACGUUUGACGCUAGGGGCGCUGUUCCAACUGCAUACAAAUUUGAUUUAACUUUUACGCUAUCGA